GAUGAACGCUGGCGGCGUGCCUAACACAUGCAAGUCGAGCGGAGAUUACGGACGGAAGUUUUCGGAUGGAAGACUGUAAUUCUUAGUGGCGGACGGGUGAGUAACGCGUGGGCAACCUGCCCUAUACAGGGGGAUAGCAGCUGGAAACGGCUGGUAAGACCGCAUAAGUCGGCGAGACCGCAUGGUUUUGCCGGGAAAUGAGCAAUCAGGUAUAGGAUGGGCCCGCGUCCGAUUAGCCAGUUGGCAGGGUAAAAGCCUACCAAAGCAACGAUCGGUAGCCGGACUGAGAGGUCGGACGGCCACAUUGGGACUGAGACACGGCCCAAACUCCUACGGGAGGCAGCAGUGGGGGAUAUUGCACAAUGGAGGAAACUCUGAUGCAGCGACGCCGCGUGAGUGAAGAAGUAUUUCGGUAUGUAAAGCUCUAUCAGCAGGGAAGAUGAUGACGGUACCUGACUAAGAAGCCCCGGCUAACUACGUG
rnacentral:rRNA from 1 species